rnacentral:rRNA from 1 species
GACGAACGCUGGCGGCGUGCCUAAUACAUGCAAGUAGAACGCUGAAGGAGGAGCUUGCUUCUCUGGAUGAGUUGCGAACGGGUGAGUAACGCGUAGGUAACCUGCCUGGUAGCGGGGGAUAACUAUUGGAAACGAUAGCUAAUACCGCAUAAUAUUGACUAUUGCAUGAUAGUCAGUUGAAAGGUGCAACUGCACCACUACCAGAUGGACCUGCGUUGUAUUAGCUAGUUGGUGGGGUAACGGCUCACCAAGGCGACGAUACAUAGCCGACCUGAGAGGGUGAUCGGCCACACUGGGACUGAGACACGGCCCAGACUCCUACGGGGGGCAGCAGUAGGGAAUCUUCGGCAAUGGACGGAAGUCUGACCGAGCAACGCCGCGUGAGUGAAGAAGGUUUUCGGAUCGUAAAGCUCUGUUGUAAGAGAAGAACGAGUGUGAGAGUGGAAAGCUCACACUGUGACGGUAUCUUACCAGAAAGGGACGGCUAACUACGUG